rnacentral:rRNA from 1 species
GAUGAACGCUGGCGGCGUGCCUAAUACAUGCAAGUCGAGCGAACGGACGAGAAGCUUGCGCCUCUGAUGUUAGCGGCGGACGGGUGAGUAACACGUGGAUAACCUACCUAUAAGACUGGGAUAACUUCGGGAAACCGGAGCUAAUACCGGAGAAUAUUUUGAACCGCAUGGUUCAAAAGUGAAAGACGGUCUUGCUGUCACUUAUAGAUGGAUCCGCGCUGCAUUAGCUAGUUGGUAAGGUAACGGCUUACCAAGGCAACGAUGCAUAGCCGACCUGAGAGGGUGAUCGGCCACACUGGAACUGAGACACGGUCCAGACUCCUACGGGAGGCAGCAGUAGGGAAUCUUCCGCAAUGGGCGCAAGCCUGACGGAGCAACGCCGCGUGAGUGAUGAAGGUCUUCGGAUCGUAAAACUCUGUUAUUAGGGAAGAACAUAUGUGUAAGUAACUGUGCACAUCUUGACGGUACCUAAUCAGAAAGCCACGGCUAACUACGUG